rnacentral:rRNA from 1 species
GACAGAGGGUGCAAACGUUGUUCGGAUUUACUGGGCGUAAAGCGCGUGUAGGCGGCUUUGCAAGUCGGAUGUGAAAGCCCACGGCUCAACCGUGGAAGUGCAUCCGAAACUGCAUGGCUGGAGUCUCGGAGAGGAAGGUGGAAUGCUUGGUGUAGAGGUGAAAUUCGUAGAUAUCAAGCAGAACACCUGCGGCGAAGGCGGCCUUCUGGACGAUGACUGACGCUGAGACGCGAAAAGCGUGGGGGAGCAAACAGG